rnacentral:rRNA from 1 species
UGGGGAAUCUUCCGCAAUGGGGCGAAAGCCUGACGGAGCAACGCCGCGUGAGUGAAGAAGGCCUUCGGGUCGUAAAGCUCUGUUGUCGGGGACGAAUGUACGAACUAUCAACAACGGUUCGUAAUGACGGUACCUGACGAGGAAGCCACGGCUAACUACGUGCCAGCAGCCGCGGUAAUACGUAGGUGGCGAGCGUUGUCCGGAAUUAUUGGGCGUAAAGGGAGCGCAGGCGGGAAGGUAAGUCUAUCUUAAAAGUGCGGGGCUCAACCCCGUGAGGGGAUGGAAACUAUCUUUCUUGAGUGCAGGAGAGGAAAGCGGAAUUCCUAGUGUAGCGGUGAAAUGCGUAGAUAUUAGGAGGAACACCAGUGGCGAAGGCGGCUUUCUGGACUGUAACUGACGCUGAGGCUCGAAAGCGU